GCGUAGAAAUCUACCUAGUAGUGGGGGAUAGCCCAGAGAAAUUUGGAUUAAUACCGCAUACGCCCUACGGGGGAAAGCGGGGGAUCUUCGGACCUCGUGCUAUUAGAUGAGUCUGCGUCGGAUUAGCUUGUUGGUGAGGUAAUGGCUCACCAAGGCGACGAUCCGUAGCUGGUCUGAGAGGAUGACCAGCCACACUGGAACUGAGACACGGUCCAGACUCCUACGGGAGGCAGCAGUGGGGAAUAUUGCACAAUGGGCGCAAGCCUGAUGCAGCCAUGCCGCGUGUGUGAAGAAGGCCUUAGGGUUGUAAAGCACUUUCAGCAGUGAGGAAAGGGGUGUCGUUAAUAGCGCCAUCCUGUGACGUUAACUGCAGAAGAAGGACCGGCUAACUCCGUG
rnacentral:rRNA from 1 species